CAGAGUUUAAGGCUUAGAAAAGUCUGAGAGCCAAAGCAAGAUAUUUUCCCCUCAUUCGAAUUACAUUCUUCUCUUAAUUGAAUGUAAAAUGAUGUAAAUGGGCUGCUGAGUGGCGCAACAGAAAAGUGGUCGCCCUAUCGUUGGGGGAUUGCUGGUUCGAAUCCUGACGAUCAGUGGCCAUGCUCUCUGGGUUGGAGGGAUCGCAUACUCCUGCUCCUACUAGCCAAUGGUGUGCAUCUGUGAGCUCAUGUAUGAGGAAGAGCUUGUAUGAUGUAUGAUAGCUCGCUGAUAAGUGAAACUUGAGUGAAGCAGGCCAUUAAGACUUGUUUAUGCUCAUCCUAGAACACCUAACAUCAUUUCAACUCAUGUGGUCCAGUUUGCCUUUUCUCUAUAUAACUGUUCAUUGUAAUGAUCACACUCCCACUAUCCUGUGUCAUCCAGAUGCUUCACAUCUAAAAAUAAAGUGAUUUAAAAUCAAGUUUCAGCAUUCCAUAAGUCUGUCGCUCACCCCGGACGAAACUGCCGCACUUCAGAUGAAUGCCGCACUUCACACACCUCGUCCUCGGACACCAUCUCCACCACCGGAACAUUAGGAAGAGGCUCGGUGUCUGAUGACAUGACGAACAGUUUCUCUCUCAUCUCUGUGUAUUUGGUCUCUGGCUGAGGUACGACCUUCCCAAUUCCUCCUGAGAUCCAGCCAAUGACUCUCGAUCUGUUGGAGAUUUUACAUAGUUGAUUAUUUUUCCUAUAGAGUGUUUUAUUCCUCUUGUGACAUAGCAUUGGCCAAUCAUGUUUGUACAAAUGUCCAUGUUGUGAAACAUCCAUGAAACAAGUUUUUCUCAUGACUUACGUUAUAGCAGCUAUAAACUGUUGUUCCCUCAUGAGCCUCUUUUAUUUUUCUCUCCCUUCAAGUUAAUAAGACAUAAAAACGCAGUUGUUGCUGCUACAAAACUGUUACAAAGUGCUGACACUGGAGACUCCUUCCAUAAAUGUAAAAUAAACACAGACUUACAGUAAACUUAACCAUAUCAACAAUAGCACACAUAGUGUUAUAGUGUCCACCAUACAAAUCCUUGCUGCUAUAGAAAUGAUAACUUAUUAGAACAAGUCCAUUAAUAUAAACCUGUGAUUUGCCUUGCCACUGGAAACACUGUCAGAGCUGCUGUCAUAGAAAAUUAAUCAACACCAAUCAGAAUUCAACAGCAUAACUAUGGCCAAAACUACAUGUAUGUGGACACCUGACCAUCACACACAUAUAUGUUUGUUGAACAUCUCAUUCAGAUUGAGUCCCUCUGCUAUUAUAAUAAGCUCCACUCUUCUGGGAAGGCUUUCCACUAGAGUUUGGGGUGUGGCAGUGGGGAUUUGUGUUCAUUCAGCUACAAGUGCAUUAGUGAGGUUGAGAUCAGGCACAGAUGUUGGGAUAGUGAGGAGCCUCCAGUUCCAGUUCAUCCCAGUGAGUUUGAGGUCAGGGCUCUCACCUUCUUCCAACCUUAAAACACCAUGUCUUCAUGGAGCUUGUUUGUGCACAGGAGUAUUGUCAUGCUGGAAAAGGUGCGGGCCUCUUAGUUCCAGUGAAGAGAAAUUGUAAUUUUACAGCACACAGAGACAGUCUAUACAAUUGUGUGCUUCCAACUUUGCGGUAUAAGUUUGGAAAAGAACCAUAUAAUGGUGUGAUGGUCAGGUGUCCACAUACUUUUGGAAUAUAAUGUAUAAUAAUAUAUUAAUAAGUCUAUGUGGUUUUCUCUAAGUUCAUCAUACCUGUCUGAAUCCUCAUCUUGAUGUGAC
ensembl:lncRNA